rnacentral:misc_RNA from 1 species
GAAAUGCGAUAAGUAAUGUGAAUUGCAGAAUUCAGUGAAUCAUCGAAUCUUUGAACGCACCUUGCGCUCCUUGGUAUUCCUUGGAGCAUGCCUGUUUGAGUAUCAUGAAAUCUUCAAAGUAAAUCUUUUGUUAACUCAAUUGGUUUCUACUUUGGUAUUGGAGGUCUUUGCAGCUCCACACCUGCUCCUCUUUGUUCAUUAGCUGGAUCUCAGUGUUAUGUUUGGUUCCACUCGGCGUGAUAAGUUAUCUAUCGCUGAGGACACUGUAAAAGGUGGCCAAGGUAAAUGCAGAUGAACCGCUUCUAAUAGUCCAUUGACUUGGACAAUACUUUUAUGAUCUGAUCUCAAAUCAGGUAGGACUACCCGCUGAACUUAAGC